GAGAGGAGGCCGCUCCUUUCUCACCACCUGGGCCGGUUCCAGGAUGUGAGAGCCAGCCCUGACGCAGGGCUGCCCAUCUGGGGAGAAGUCCCCCGUGACAUGGCGGGGAAGGACAAAAGCCCGGAGGAGAAGGAGCAGGGUGUCUGGCGCUGGCGCACAGAAGGAAUGAGGACGACCCCUGCCUUCAGGAGCUCCCAGUCUGAAUAAGACACGGCCGCAGUGGUGUCCUCACCAGAUCUCAUUCUCUUAUGUCCAAGAAAAAGGCCUGUCCACACGCCAGGAAAUAGGGCCCCUGGCAGCCCUAGGCAAGCAACUCCAGCAGAAAAAUGCUUCCUCACGUCGUGUGUGCAUCACUCAAAGCAAGGACGCUGGCUGACUGUCCUCCGCGGGGACCGCCUUCUGCUGGGGGGCUGGGUGAUUCUGGCCACGGGCCCUUUCAUCCACAGACUGAAUAGAAGCUCGUGGAGUAGGAUAAGGGCACUUCUCUCCCCACAAAAUAUGCUGAAUGGACAAGGAAAAAUGCUCUUUACACCCACUGAUCAAAUAAUAAGUUUCCCGUGGGCAGAAAAACCACGUUAGAGAAACUAAGGCAGAAUGAUGGUUAGGAUCACAGGCUCUGGAAACAGCUUGCCUGGGUGAAUUCCAGCUUCGCAGUUACAUGCUGUGGGACCUUGAGCAAAUUAUAUAUCCUCUUUAAGCCUCAUUGAUUUCAUCUGUAAAAUAAGGAGAACACUAUUGCCUGUGUCAAUAAGUUACUGUGAGGAUUAAGUUGGUGUAAUUGGCAAAGCAGAAAAUAAG